AGAAAAUUGCGGGAAGAGCCCGGAAGAACUUAACCUUCACCAAAGUCAAAGUCAUCUCCCGCGAGCGAAGGAGGAUCUUACCGCAAAAGAAAAGCGAAAACAAAGGAUAGCACGAUCGGCCAUCUACGUGAGCCAGAAAAAAAAAGUAGAUGAGUGAUAUUUCGGAAUUUCAAAAUGGCACGAAGCUUUGAAGAGUUUUAUUGUGGAAGUCUUUGAAGAUGCGCAUCGUGUCGUGAAUCUUCGACUACCUGUUGGCCGGAUAUAAUUUGAUGACACUUCUUUCCCGACAGCCCAAAAAGCCAGCCGUUUGCACAGUUAAUUUAUGAGUUUUAAUGUAUUCUUUUUUUGGGUGUUUCAUUUUAGCCUGAGGAUACUAUCAACAAUGCGAUGGUUUGUACCAUAAAUUUGUUAUACUUGACGGUUCAAGGAAAGUCAACUAUUUUUGGCGGAAGAAAAAUAAUGGUAUUUGCUUUUGGUAUACUGUAUUGUUCGGUUACAAGUAAUGCAUUACAGACUCGAGUACAUAUGAGACGCAUACAUAGUAGCUUCACGCAACAUAUACGAAGCCUUUAAUUGUCUAACUAUUAGAGGAAAUUGUCGAAGCCGGCCAACCGUGGAUAAUCAGUAAAUGGAGAAGAAAUUCUGGCCAGUGCAAGAACAGGUGCGUAUGAUGCCCAUUUGCAAAACUACGUAGCAGUCCAAAAGUAAUUAGCCCUGGUAAAAAUAAACGUAAUGGUAAAAGAAUAAUUUAGUAUUAAUAGAUUUUAAUUUAUAUUUUACCUUGUCCUGAUGCCUGCCGUUCAUCCUAGCGGCGUUACAUAGCGCAAAUUUCGAAAAGAUUAGAUGUAGCGGAUGUAAUACUGCAACCAGUAAAAGAGAAAACAAAUUAAAGGUAAGAGAAUUUAAUGAAAAAAUGUUCUUGUUUACCUGUUGGCAGCCCGUUCACCUGUAGUCACGAAGAGCUAGAACGAACUGCAAAAGCUCCAAGGAAUUCCAUUCGUUAAAUACCGAUGACACUAGCGUUGGGAACCAGGAUAAAAUUGCACGCUAGCAUGAUUAUCAUGGUUUACUAAUUUGGCAAGAUGUUUUGUGUUAAAAUUGAAUUUAAAAAAAAAACCACAUCGUCAUCUUCGUCGCCUUGAGGAUAACUAUCGGGGAACGCGGGAAAUGAUAAUUCUCACGAAUCUUUCGUCAGUCAUGCUAUAGCAUGGUAAUAAAAAGAAUCAAGGACUUUUCUAGAGCUUCCCAAGUUCAAGUUCUUGGCAACGAAUAACAACAGAAAUAAUAAAGUACGGCAAAAAAACCAAAAAACAAUAAUAAUGGCUCCAUACAAAAGAAGAAAAAAAAUGGGAAAAGAAAAUGUUCUUUGUGGGAAUGUAUUCAUUUUAUCGGCUUAGAGGGCACCUUGAAAGUCCUCUUGGCCGUUUCCUAUUUAUGGUGGUUAUUCAUCAAACCUUUCUCAUGGCGUUUGAAUAACAACGGAACGCUUUCCCUGUUACUUUUUCAGGGGACCAAAACAAAGAAACGGGUGCACGACUGCAUGAUAUGAGAGAACACUAACAAAUUUGCCCCACUUAUGAAUCCGUAGAUAAUUUCAAUCGUAGUUUUAAAAACUGAAUUUGAAAUGCUGUAUAGUUCUAAUUGACAAUUUCGCUUCCGGCAACGUAUUAACUUUUUUUUUAGCUUUAUUAAAAACGUCAGCUGGAGAUUGAAUGCCUGGAGUUAUAGCAUAUCCCUCACGGUGAAUUACUAAAAUAACGGUUGUAAAAAUAAAAUGAAAACAGGUUUUUCACUUUCACUUGAAUGCUAUAUUUAGUAUGCAUGUGCGCAAAAGUUUCUUAUUUUAGCAAUUCAGACGAAUGAAAUUUAACUAGCAAAUCUUAUUUGUAAUUGAAUCACAUUCGAGUAUAUUGAUUGGCGUGAGUUGUCAUUAGUUCAAACCAUUCGUCUCUGAGUAAAGCAAUGAGUAAUAAAGUGCAAUGAAAUUGUAAUCAGUUAAUUAUGUUUAUUAUGUCGAAAAUAGAACAAAAAAGUGUCUGAAAUAAAUUCUGCAUUUUAAAUUUUUAA